AGCGAACGCUGGCGGCAGGCCUAACACAUGCAAGUCGAACGGACCCUUCGGGGUUAGUGGCGGACGGGUGAGUAACACGUGGGAACGUGCCUUUAGGUUCGGAAUAGCUCCUGGAAACGGGUGGUAAUGCCGAAUGUGCCCUUCAGGGGAAAGAUUUAUCGCCUUUAGAGCGGCCCGCGUCUGAUUAGCUAGUUGGUAAGGUAAUGGCUUACCAAGGCAACGAUCAGUAGCUGGUCUGAGAGGAUGAUCAGCCACAUUGGGACUGAGACACGGCCCAAACUCCUACGGGAGGCAGCAGUGGGGAAUCUUGCGCAAUGGGCGAAAGCCUGACGCAGCCAUGCCGCGUGAAUGAUGAAGGUCUUAGGAUUGUAAAAUUCUUUCACCGGGGACGAUAAUGACGGUACCCGGAGAAGAAGCCCCGGCUAACUUCGUGCCAGCCGCCGCCGUAACAC
rnacentral:rRNA from 1 species